UAUCUCUGUAGAGUCUGCAUAUCAAUAAGCGGAGGAAAAGAAACUAACAAGGAUUCCCUUAGUAACGGCGAGUGAAGCGGGAAGAGCUCAAAUUUGAAAUCUUCAAGGUUCUACCUUGACGAAUUGUAGUUUAAAGAAGUGUUUUCUGUUAGAUGAGUAGCAAAAGUUCCUUGGAAUGGGACAUCAUAGAGGGUGGGAAUCCCGUAUUUGGUUAUUCAUUCUAGCUUUGUGAUACACUUUCAAAGAGUCGGAUUGUUUGGGAAUGCAGUCCAAAAUGGGUGGUAAAUUUCAUCUAAAGCUAAAUAUUGGCGAGAGACCGAUAGCGAACAAGUACCGUGAGGGAAAGAUGAAAAGAACUUUGAAAAGAGAGUUAAACAGUACGUGAAAUUGUCAAAAGGGAAGCGUUUGACACCAGUGUUGUUUUUCCGAAAAUCAAUUACGAAUGGCUUGAUUUUGUGUUGUAUUGACCUUAUCAGCUUUCUUCACUUUUUUCGAGUCUUUCUUAAUGCACUUUUCGGUUAACAAGUCAACAUCAAUUUCUUUUGUUGUAAAAGAGUAUUCGGAAGGUGGCUUUCUUUUCGGAGAAAGUGUUUAUAGCCCUAUACUUCUACAAUCGGAGAGAUUGAGGUCUGCAGCGUAGAUCCUUCGGGGUUAGAUACAUUUGUGCUAAGUUGUAGCUUUUCAUAGACAACUUGUUGACUAUGUUUAGUCAUGCGGCUUACUCGCUUGUGCUAUUUUACCUACGCUUAGGAUGUUGACUGAUAUGUAGUCGUA
rnacentral:rRNA from 1 species